UGGGGAAUUUUGGACAAUGGGCGAAAGCCUGAUCCAGCAAUGCCGCGUGUGUGAAGAAGGCCUUCGGGUUGUAAAGCACUUUUGUCCGGAAAGAAAUCCUUGGCUCUAAUACAGUCGGGGGGUGACGGUACCGGAAGAAUAAGCACCGGCUAACUACGUGCCAGCAGCCGCGGUAAUACGUAGGGUGCAAGCGUUAAUCGGAAUUACUGGGCGUAAAGCGUGCGCAGGCGGUUUGCUAAGACCGAUGUGAAAUCCCCGGGCUCAACCUGGGAACUGCAUUGGUGACUGGCAGGCUAGAGUAUGGCAGAGGGGGGUAGAAUUCCACGUGUAGCAGUGAAAUGCGUAGAGAUGUGGAGGAAUACCGAUGGCGAAGGCAGCCCCCUGGGCCAAUACUGACGCUCAUGCACGAAAGCGUGGGGAGCAAAACAGGAUUAGAUACCCUGGUAGUCCACGCCCUAAAACGAUGUCAACUAGUUGUUGGGGAUUCAUUUCCUUAGUAACGUAGCUAACGCGUGAAGUUGACCGCCUGGGGAGUACGGUCGCAAAGAUUAAAACUCAAAGGAAUUGACGGGGUCAUAGCUGUUUCCU
rnacentral:rRNA from 1 species